rnacentral:lncRNA from 1 species
AAAAAAUGAUUUGUCGAGGCUUUAUAGUGAAAAACAUUUCAUUGGUGUGAUGCUGCUAGUCUCCAGUUCAUUUGGGAUAUGAACAUUUGAGUAUUUGUGAGAGUCAGGGGAAGUUCCAUUUUGUCAUUUCAUCUACAUUUCUCUUUGAGAAGUUUUAUAUAUUGCAUGCUCGUUAUAUUAAUGGAAAUGCUUUGUUUUGGUAUGAUUUACAAAUUGCUGCAAUUACGUGAUCAUGUCACUUUGUUGUGGUAUCCUUUAUUGGUUUCUCUAUAUGCACGUUUGAAAUUGGAUUCCUCUUUUCUAAUUCUUAUCUUUUUUCCUUUUGCAUAUGCACUAGGAGCAAUAAUUGGGAGUCUUAAGUGAGAUCCGAGGCUACCUCUAAUUUGAACAAGGAGUCAUAGCCCAUAUUCUUAAGUCAAACCGGCUACCAGUUUAGUGUCUCUUUUCCUCCUUUUAAGUUUUAUUCUUCUUUUCUAGACACUUGUUAUUAUUUGUCAUUUAACAUUUCGUACAUUAUUAUUUAAAAGUUGUGUUUUAUAUGUUUUUGUUUGAAUUAGUGUGAAUUCUUAAAUUUGAUAGCGAAUUUAAUUAUUUCCUUUCUACCUCGUUGGUUCCAAAUUUAGCAUAAUCAUUAGGCUCCGACUUUUAAUUUAUAUCGUUGGAAAGGUUAAAAUUUGACCGGGGAUAACAUACCUUUUAGAAUAGUUGGUCGAGUUGUUAGAACCCUUAACUCUUUAAUAUAGAAUAAUGGCCUUAUCUUUAGAAUCAAAAUUAAUUUUAAUUAAUUAGUAAUAUUGAAUUAAUAUAAUAUAAGUUUUGUGACAGGCGAAUUUAUCAUCGCUAGACUCCGAAAUCGAAUUAAAUUAUUUUGAAUAUGGUAAUCAAAUCCUUUUUUUUUCUUUCUUUAUCAAUUCCCAAUAAAAAUUGUAAUUUUGCUAAUUUGAUUGCAUCAGUUUUUAUCUCAAGAAUUCAAAAUGACGGAAAAUAUAUUUUUUAAUAAUUAUAAAUAAAUUCUCAAGGCAUUAUGGGUUUAACACAUUUACUUUUUGCUAUCUUAAAUGAUUCAUUUUGGGUAGGAUAAUUAACCCUUUGUUUUUAUUUAUAAAAAUUGAUUAAAAAGGACAAAAAAAAAGUCAUUUUUCUUAGAAUAAAAGAAAAUGAAUUUUUUAAGCAUAACUAACUUUUUUUUUAAUUGAAUACUUUUGUAUGACGUGUAAAGAACAGGAUUCAAAAUAACUUUCUUUUGACAAUAGUAAAGCUUACAUCAUUUUCCCGAGGACUAUAAAAGUCGCAUUUAAUAAUUUUCGCAAAUAAAUUGAUUCUCAAUAUUUCUCAGUUCUUUCUAAUCUUUUCUCAUGAAUGAUUUGCAUAUGUUAUUCUAAACAAUAUAUAUAUAUAUAUAUAUAUAUAUAUAUAUAUAUUAUGCCUAGCCUAUAUCUUUUCUUAAUUCAACAUUUGAUUUUCUUAUCUAACCUAAGUUUGGUCAGUGAACCGUAGUUAGCGAAUCCUUUAGGGUGCCUAAUCCCUUCCCUUUAGGAUAAUUAGAAUCUUUACCUAGAAUUUUUUAAGUUGCGUAGACCUUAAAACGAAGUUUUUAAUUGCAUUAAUCACAUAGUUUAUAAUAGGUGUCCUAAUUUACCGUAGAACUAAUUAGGUGACGACUUCCUUAAUUUAAUUAAAAGUUUUUUCUAAUAUGUUGUACCUUGACCCGAGUUAAAAUGGGGUAUAACAACAUAGUGACUAAAAUACUCUUCAAGUAGAUAAUUAAUUCAUUCAAUCUGUAGAUCAGUUUAUGGAUGAUUCACAAUUAAGAACUUUAGUUUAGUAUCCGCUAUGUUGAACAAUGUAGUCCAAAAUAGACCUAUGAACCUUCUAUUUCGAUUACUCACAGUAUCAAGUGGAACACCAAAAUUCUUCACCACAAAUUUAUAGAAUUAUUCAGCAACUAUCUCAAAAGAACAAAGAGUAAGAGCAAUAAUAAAAGAGAAAAUACAUAAAUAUGACCCUAAACUUGAUAUCAAAUUAUAACUUUGACCUUAAACUUUGAUAGUGCACAAAUAUGACUUUUAACUAUUCAAAACCUGAACAAAUAUGACCUCCGAUUUUGCAACCCCCAUGCGUGAGUUUCAAUUGCGCAUAUGUAGAAAGGUAAUCCAAUCACACGGUGCCACGUUGUUAAAAGAACUGACUUGGAGGGAGGUCAUAUUUGUGCAAUUUUGAAUAGUUAAAGGUCAUAUUUGUGCACUGUCAAAGUUUUAUUUUUUGUGUUAAAACGGCGUCAUUUUUAUAAUUAUUAUUUCUAUUAUUAUUAUUAUUAUUAUUUAUUUAUUUAUUUAUUUAUUUAUUUAUUUAGGGAUCGAUCCCGCACAGUAGGCUUAAAGAAGCGCCCAAGAAGAACAAAUAACACCACUGGGCUAUCUAAGUGUCUCAUUUCAUGUGGCUCAACAUUAAUAUACGUACAUAAAUAUAGAUUUCUACCUUAUAUAUACAACAUAAUUUUUUUACUGAGGGAGUUCGGGUGAACCCCAUGACAACCAUGUAGGUCCACCCCUGCGUUAAUUUAAUAACGUUUUGAUAACGUUAAUUUAAUAAUAUUGUAAUAACAUUAAUUUGAUAACGUUAAUUUAAUAUACUACUACUGCUAUCCUUAAUAAUGUUAAUUUAAUAACAUUUUAUUAAAAUUAUAUUUUUUUUAUUAUUAGUAUAGUUUCAUUUUUAAUUUAAUAUUUAAAUAAAUUAUAUUUAAAUAUAUUAUAUAACUUAAAUUCACUCUCUACUUUAUAAUAUAUAUACCUACCCGCGCGAUUUUUUCGUAUGAGGCUGACCUAUCUAAUUAAUAAAUCUUCAAUAUUGCUCUUUUUCUACAAUGACAAAAGAAAUUAGAUGUCAUUUUGAUCUUUGAGUCGAAAAUAAUAAAAAAAAUUAUAGUGAAAAGUCAUUUAAAGGUUAUAUUUGUGUAGUUUUGAAUAGUUAAAGGUCAUAUUUGUGCACUGUCAAAGUUUAAGAUCAAAGUUAUAAUUUGAUGUCAAGUUUAGGGUCAUAUUUAUAUAUUAUGCCCUUAGAUUUUAAGUUGAACGCGCCCAGUUUUGGAUGUUGAACAGUAAAAUUUACAUAUCAAAAUCUGAGGUACAGAAAGAAGAGCUGGUCUAGAUAAGAAUCAUAUAGAAAAAGUCUUUCUUUUAAGGAUUCAUUCUUCUUAUAGAAGGUUUGGAAGAACAGAAUUUCCACUGAUGGCAAUCUUAGAAGAAUUAAGAUAAAAAUUGUGUCAGAUAGUACUAUUAUGAAGCCUGAAAAAAAGAAAAUCAUACUGCAUUUAUUACUAACUUCUUCCAUAUCCUAAAAGCUAUGAAAGCGAUUUGCUUCUUAUGUAGUUUUUGUUAUUGAAAGGUUGAAUUUGCAACAACCCAUUUUCAAAUGGUGGGGAUACUGGGAAAAUUCUAAGUUACAACACAUUCUAAUGGCCGUACUUGCAAAUAAUAAUGUAGAAAUUGUGGAUGAGGAGGAAUGCAAGAAGAUACGGGAAGGAAACAUCUUUCAACCAAAUGCAUCAUCAGUGUCAACAGGUGGUGCACCAACUCAUAAGAGUGUAAUACUCAUGAUUGAGAGGAAUUUCUUAUCAUUGAAAAUGGAUCUUUGAUAUGCUUCAACAUUACAGACCUACACUUCACUAUCACAUAGUGAAGUGGAUGUGGCUAGAAAAUAGAUUGGUGAAAUGUAAUACUGAUGGGGCUAGUAAAGAAAAUUCAAGAAAGAGUUCCUAUGAUUUUUGUGUCAGUGAAAGCAAUGGUC